rnacentral:miRNA from 1 species
UAAUGAUGAUGAUGAUGGCGAUGAUGAUUGAGAUGAUGAUGAUGGAGAUGGGAGAUGAUGAUCACCAUCACCAUCACCAUCACCAUCAGAAGAU